AAUAUAUAAAUUAAAAAGAAUGAAAAGAAUACUUCACCUCAGACCUCAGCCUUUCAUCCUUCAGCUGAAUGGAAUAUUUGGAUCUCACCUAUGAGCUCAAUAAGAAAAGAAAAACACAAAUGACUGAAAGCAGGACUUCAGCAGCCCUGAGAAAUCAUGGACGGGAAUCCACCUUUGUUUACUACAAAACACCCUGCUUCACGGUUUCUCAUUGUGCUACCUUCCUUCGGGGGAACCCCAGGAUUUCACAGGCUGAUAUCCCCAGCUACAUCCAAGUUUCCAGAAAUGAGGAUCCAUAGGCACAAAGUGAGGUGUCCCCAACCCUCCCUUUUUACAGCCCAUGCCUGAUAUUUAUCGGAACGUCCACAAGGCGAUGGUGAACGGUGGCCAAAUGAGAAGCUCAGUGUCUGGGAAAAUGAUUGAAAAUGGCCAAGUGCCACAGUGAGAGUUGUUUGUUCUGGGAAUGGAAGGAGGAAAUUGUCAGAGGAAGUGAAAUAGGAAAUGAAGAGAUCAAAGGGAGGAGGAAAUAAGAUUGAAUUGAGCCCUUUUUGGAUUCAACUUUGCACUCUUAACCCAUGUGAGGCAAAAAGAUUAGCCUUUAAACAGCUGGAGUUGGGGAGAAACACUUUCCAACGGGUGCAUCCUGGCGACUGUUAGCUCCCACAUCCCACCCCACAAAUGGACUGCAGCAGGGGAGCUGAGGGAAGCCAGAUCCGUUUCCUACAGAAAAUCCAGUGGUUUCUGAUGGCAGGAGGGAGGCGGUCUAUCUUCACUGCGGAUGGCGAGGUGCCUUUUGGAGGAGGAGGAUGGAGAGAAAGGGUCUCCAACAGCGAACCUUUGUCCUGCAAUGCAAAUGAACCUCUGCAAAACAGGGCGCAGACAAUGCCAGCCUAGUCCUCUGCGCGAAGCGAUCCAUCUGCAGCUAUUUUGUUAACCUGAUGUUUCUUACAUUCUUUCUCUCAUACAAAAUACUUGAUUUUGACAGCUGUGAAUUUUAAACAACCAUUCUGUGUAUGUUUUUCUAAUUUUGUGUAUUCAGAUUGUUUCUCCAUAUUGGGGGGGUUGGAAGCCAAGUACUUUACAUUCCUUCGUUUAGAGAUUUCAUGCUUUUCGAAAGUCGUGGCGGUUCUGAUCGCUAAACAAAGUAGAAAUGAAGUGUGCUCACCAGCAGCAUUGGAAUGACCGGGGAGUGCAGAAGCACUUUUGAAAUAAAAAAGGUUGCACAAGCGGACUGGAGGCAGGGCUCAGGAGUGACACAUCACUCAGUCACACUCUGGUGGCCCCAGGAAGCUGCGUCUGCCCUCACUUACCUGUA
rnacentral:lncRNA from 1 species